AUUGAACGCUGGCGGCAUGCCUUACACAUGCAAGUCGAACGGCAGCACGGGUGCUUGCACCUGGUGGCGAGUGGCGCACGGGUGAGUAUUACAUCGGCACAUGUCCUGUAGUGGGGGAUAGCCCGGCGAAAGCCGGAUUAAUACCGCAUACGAUCUACGGCUGAAAGCGGGGGACCUUCGGGCCUCGCGCUAUAGGGUUGGCCGAUAGCUGAUUAGCUAGUUGGUGGGGUAAAGGCCUACCAAGGCGACGACCAGUAGCUGGUCUGAGAGGACGACCAGCCACACUGGGACUGAGACACGGCCCAGACUCCUACGGGAGGCAGCAGUGGGGAAUUUUGGACAAUGGGCGAAAGCCUGAUCCAGCAAUGCCGCGUGUGUGAAGAAGGCCUUCGGGUUGUAAAGCACUUUUGUCAGGGAAGAAAUCCUUGGCUCUAAUACAGUCGGGGGAUGACGGUACCGGAAGAAUAAGCACCGGCUAACUACGUG
rnacentral:rRNA from 1 species